rnacentral:rRNA from 1 species
CAGUCGCCACGGUAAUACGUAGGUGGCAAGCGUUGUCCGGAAUUAUUGGGCGUAAAGGGAGCGCAGGCGGACAUAUAAGUCCAUCUUAAAAGUGCGGGGCUCAACCCCGUGAGGGGAUGGAAACUGUAUGCCUUGAGUGCAGGAGAGGAAAGCGGAAUUCCCAGUGUAGCGGUGAAAUGCGUAGAUAUUGGGAGGAACACCAGUGGCGAAGGCGGCUUUCUGGACUGCAACUGACGCUGAGGCUCGAAAGCCAGGGGAGCGAACGGGAUUAGAUACCCCCGUAGUCCCUGUCUCUUAUACA